GGACGAACGCUGGCGGCGUGCCCAAUACAUGCAAGUCGAACGGUCUUUUCUAUGGAAGCUUGCUUCCACUGAAAAGAUAGUGGCGAACGGGUGAGUAACACGUGGGUAACCCUGCCCAUAAGAGGGGGAUAACAUCCGGAAACGGGUGCUAAUACCGCAUAGUUUUCUUGAUCGCAUGAUCGGGAAAGGAAAGACGGCCUUUGUGCUGUCGCUUAUGGAUGGACCCGCGGCGUAUUAGUUAGUUGGUGAGGUAACGGCUCACCAAGACGAUGAUACGUAGCCGACCUGAGAGGGUGAUCGGCCACAUUGGGACUGAGACACGGCCCAAACUCCUACGGGAGGCAGCAGUAGGGAAUCUUCCGCAAUGGACGAAAGUCUGACGGAGCAACGCCGCGUGAGUGAAGAAAAGGUUUUCGGAUCGUAAAACUCUGUUGUCAGAGAAGAACAAGUUGGAGAGUAACUGCUCCAGCCUUGACGGUAUCUGACCAGAAAGCCACGGCUAACUACGUGCCAGCAGCCGC
rnacentral:rRNA from 1 species